UGGGGAAUUUUGGACAAUGGGCGAAAGCCUGAUCCAGCAAUGCCGCGUGUGUGAAGAAGGCCUUCGGGUUGUAAAGCACUUUUGUCCGGAAAGAAAUCCUUGGCUCUAAUACAGUCGGGGGAUGACGGUACCGGAAGAAUAAGCACCGGCUAACUACGUGCCAGCAGCCGCGGUAAUACGUAGGGUGCAAGCGUUAAUCGGAAUUACUGGGCGUAAAGCGUGCGCAGGCGGUUUGCUAAGACCGAUGUGAAAUCCCCGGGCUCAACCUGGGAACUGCAUUGGGUGACUGGCAGGCUAGAGUAUGGCAGAGGGGGGUAGAAUUCCACGUGUAGCAGUGAAAUGCGUAGAGAUGUGGAGGAAUACCGAUGGCGAAGGCAGCCCCCUGGGCCAAUACUGACGCUCAUGCACGAAAGCGUGGGGAGCAAACAGGAUUAGAUACCCUGGUAGUCCACGCCCUAAACGAUGUCAACUAGUUGUUGGGGAUUCAUUUCCUUAGUAACGUAGCUAACGCGUGAAGUUGACCGCCU
rnacentral:rRNA from 1 species